GAUGAACGCUGGCGGCAUGCCUAACACAUGCAAGUCGAACGGACUUAUUUUGAAGCCUAGCGAUAAAUAAGUUAGUGGCGGACGGGUGAGUAACGCGUGGGUAACCUGCCUCACACUGGGGGACAACAGUUGGAAACGGCUGCUAAUACCGCAUAAGCGCACGGUACCGCAUGGUACAGUGUGAAAAACUCCGGUGGUAUACGAUGGACCCGCGUCUGAUUAGCUAGUUGGUGAGGUAACGGCCCACCAAGGCGACGAUCAGUAGCCGGCCUGAGAGGGUGGACGGCCACAUUGGGACUGAGACACGGCCCAAACUCCUACGGGAGGCAGCAGUGGGGAAUAUUGCACAAUGGGGGAAACCCUGAUGCAGCGACGCCGCGUGAGUGAAGAAGUAUUUCGGUAUGUAAAGCUCUAUCAGCAGGGAAGAAAAUGACGGUACCUGACUAAGAAGCCCCGGCUAACUACGUG
rnacentral:rRNA from 1 species